AGGAUAAACGCUGGCGGCGUGCAUGAGACAUGCAAGUCGAACGGACACACGGGGCUUGCUCUGUGUGUUAGUGGCGGACGGCUGAGUAACGCGUAGGUGACCUGCCCCGAAGUGGGGAAUAACUGCCCGAAAGGGUGGCUAAUACCGCAUGUGGUGAUGCGUUCAUUCGCAUCAGUAAAGCCGCAAGGCGCUUCGGGAGGGGCCUGCGUCCGAUUAGCUCGUUGGUGGGGUAACGGCGUCACCAAGGCGACGAUCGGUAGGUGGUCUGAGAGGACGAUCACCCAGACUGGGACUGAGACACGGCCCAGACUCCUACGGGAGGCAGCAGUCGGGAAUUUUGCGCAAGUGGACGAAAGUCUGACGCAGCAACGCCGCGUGAGGGAUGACGGCCGUUCGGUUCGUAACCUCGUUUUGUCGAGGAAGUAUAGUAGACGGUACGUGGCG
rnacentral:rRNA from 1 species